rnacentral:lncRNA from 1 species
AGAGUUUGGCCUGAACUUUUGUAAAUUGUUAGGCUGUAUGAUUGUCUAGAUAUUGCACAUGCCAUACAGUACCAAUAAUGUGGGACAACAUUGUGUCAGCAGGUCAAAGUCAUCGCUAAAAACUUGCAACGGUAAUAGGCUACUAUAAAGAUAUUUAAAGUUACUGCUAUUAUCAAAUAUAUAUAUUAUAUUCUCAGACCUUUAAUGAUAGUUUAGAUGAGAUCUCCGCACG